rnacentral:rRNA from 1 species
CUGUUUAAGCUGAUGUUGUAUCUCCUAACAGCGGCGUCCAAGGUCCGGCAGAUGGGACCACUUAACAAGUUCGUGCUGUGGAUCCCAAGGGGUAGCGAUAGGAAACCAAGCGGAGACCACAGAUGGUGCUGCAAGGUUAGCGGCCUCAGCCUCGAGGCGGUAGCAGGUCAGGAGCGCUUUUAGGAGGUAGCGUAGCUUAAAAAAUAAAGAAGGUCGUGAAACCACUCUAACGAAGACGUGACAAGCAGUGUCCUGCCACUCAAGGAAGAGUGACUUUGUAGAGCCAUAUAAUACAAACCGUAGUUAAAAAAUCGGGGGAUGGUUAACAACAGUUUUCAUCCGGACCGUAACAGUUUUAUCGAAAACUCCCUUAAAAAAAUCUUUGUUUGAAGACACUCCGUGUUAGUAUUAGACACACAAUCUUUAUUCGAAACAAGUACAUAUAAUAAUACGGGUUAAAUUUUGACUCAUACUAGUCUUACCAAAGUAAUACCAAUAACUGAACACUGACUUCCUGAUACAGUAACAACGGGGCAUUUCUAAACACGUCCAGGUAUGAAGGAAAAAGGUUACAUAACGCGCCAGCUCCAGAGAUCGUUCCUAUGGGAGGGACCCCACAAGGCGUUGAAGAACCUGAGGCAGACGAGCGGCUUGCGGUCACCUCUAGGCGACGACGUUGUGGAGUUCCUUCGCAGGACGUUGUGCCGCGUUGCCGGCGUCCUAACAGGAAGUCCUUGAGCCGUGGACCUGGAUCCGUCCCGUUGCAGCAGACACGAUAGGAACAGUAGGACCACGUACGAAGGAAAAAAGCUUCAGGCGCGCCAGCUCCAGAUACAGUUCCUGCGGGAGGGAUCCCAUAAGGUGUUGAAGUACCUGACGUAGACGAGCGGGCUGCGGUCACCUCUAGGCGACGACACUGCGCAGUUCCUUCGCAGGACGUGCCGCAUCGCCUGCGCCCCAGUAGGAAGUCCUUGUACCGGACGCUGGACGAGUGGAUCUGAACCGCCCCGUCGCCGCAGACACGAUAGGAGCAGUAGGACCCCGUUAGCCGUUAUAAUUGCCUACUAAGAAACUUCCGACAACGUAGGUCCAUUAAAACUGGAUCGUCCUGGUUAAUCAUACGUCUACUACGAACAUCAUGUUCGACUGUUUAUCAGCUUGUGGUACGAUACAACAAGUAAUUAGACAAAAACG